rnacentral:lncRNA from 1 species
GAUCCGACCCAUUUGCACCCAUAGAGUUUUCUAAUAUAGCAAGCAAGGAGAGGAAAUGACCCGAACUGCCGUGGUAGUAGUUAAAGUGAUUACUCUUGAUUGUAACUCAUUAUCGAGAACCAUGAAUGAGAACAUAUUUCCCUAAGUUAAUAGUUUUAAGGAAAUGCUGUGAAUUCUAUAGAUGUUAUCAAGAAGUAUAUAAAGCCUAUAGACACAC